GAGAAAUCUGAAUUGCCUUGCUUAUUGACUCUUAGAAAGAAAAAUGAAUAAUCUAGGUCUAACUGCUAAACCUGAAGGUUGAUGACUGUCAUUAGAAUAUGAAGGAGAUUUUCAUGAUCCGGCUGUUAUCAAUUUAGGCACAUGGCCCUGUAUGUGGGCGGGCAGAGGAUGACAAUGCAAUCCUCGCUGAAUCAACAGGAUGAAGAUCACCCUUUGGAUACUGCAAGAGUUGUGACCUACAACCUGAAUGCACACUACAUCAC